rnacentral:rRNA from 1 species
UACGAAGGUGGCAAGCGUUACUCGGAAUUACUAGGCGUAAAGGGCAGGUAGGUGGUUUGGUUAGUCUGUUGUGAAAGCUCCUUGCUCAACGGGGAGAGGUCAACAGAUACUGCCAGACUUGAGUCUAGGAGAGGGUACUGGAAUUCCCGGUGUAGCGGUGAAAUGCGCAGAGAUCGGGAGGAACACCAAUGGCGAAAGCAGGUACCUGGACUAGUACUGACACUCAGCUGCGAAAGCUAGGGGAGCAAACAGG